rnacentral:lncRNA from 1 species
AGUCACAUCAAAUAGCUUUAUGGGGGACGUCACAUCAAUUUAAACCUUAUAUGCAGAGCAAAUCUUAAAUUGGCAGCGAAUCUUCUAACGGGGUCGGAGACGGGACACUUCGGCAGAUCAGUGACAGGAAUUGGUGUAUCACUUCGGAGAGGCUUCGGGAGGUCGGAGUGGUUUCGAGGCUCGUAAAAUGAGGCGUAACAGUGGCCCCCCAAAUCUGAGAAUGAAUAUUUAUAUUAUACUUGGAUUUGUUUUCCUGACCGGAUCGCGGCAUGGGGGUAGCUGAAACUUUGUAGAGCAUGGGAAGAACGCAGAGCCGAGGCGAUGAGCCAAUGAUACGCUCGCGUCGGGUACGUUAAAGCGUUAUAGAAAUUUUAGGGACUCGUCUUCAUCGAAGCGUUGUCAGGAAGAGGGAGACGGCUCAAGCUUUGCAAAGCAUGGGAGGGGCGCAGCGACCGAGGCGAUAGCAAACGGGGCGCUUGCAUCGGGUGCGUCCAGGCUUUGUUAAGUUGGGGGACUCGUUUCUCGCCGAAGCGUUGGCGGAAAAGAGGGUCGACGCGUGGGGGGAUGGCUAGAACUUUGUAAAGCAAUGGUGGGAACGCAGCGCCCGAGGUGAUUAGCGACUGGGGCCUUCGCAUCGGUUGCGGCUAAGCUUUGUAAAGUUGGGGGAGGAGAUCAUCCGAGGCGACCCAGAAGUCCAAUGAUUUGACAACUGUUGCGUGUUUCCAAGGUGACAGUUGGGUACCACGCCCAUUCCCCUAGAAGGCUGCCGCGGCCAGUAAUUAUUAUUGACGGCUGUUGGUAACCGAGGCGACGCGUUUCAAUUUAGCGUGAAAGCCACUUUAGCGUGAAACCCACAGCGACAUCUUGGGCGUAGAUCAAAUCUGGCGUUUCAUUUCAACGGCUGGGAUCGAGAAUACAACGGACGGUUUAGAUUGAUCGUAUUUGAAUUCAAAGGUGGAGAUUGGAUUUGUCUUUCCUAUAAAAGGUGAACUUUGGGGGCUUACCAGAGUUUCUACCUUUACCACGAAAAAACAAAAUUUUCUCCCAAAUUUUUGGCGAUUCCCGGCGUUCUACAGGCAACUCCGGCGAGAGAGAGAGCGAUAUUUCCGGCGAUCUUGCACCAUUUCCGGCUAGGAAACACUUUCAAACCCGUAAGUUUCAGUACCCAUUUAGACUCUAAAAAUUUCUUAACGAAUGGCCUCGGAAGGNNN